rnacentral:rRNA from 1 species
UACGUAGGUGGCAAGCGUUGUCCGGAAUUACUGGGCGUAAAGCGCGCGUAGGUGGUACGUCAAGUUCGGCGUGAAAUCCCCAGGCUCAACUUGGGGGGGUCGUCGAAGACUGGCGAACUAGGGUCUGGCAGAGGCAGGUAGAAUUCCCGGUGGAGCGGUGAAAUGCGUAGAGAGUCGGGAGGAAUACCAGUGGCGAAGGCGGCCUGCUGGGCCACGGACCGACACUGAGGUGCGAAAGCGUGGGGAGCGAACCGGG